UCCGCCCACUCUGAAGAGUCUCGGCGUCUGAUUGGUCCAAUUUUCAGUUAGGCGCUGCCUGAUUGGCCAGUGGAUGAUGUCGGAUCCUAACAGAGGGCUAAAUCACUAGUUAACUAUUUUCAUCAUGGAAGUUAUACAGCUCACGUAUCACACUUAAUAUUGAAUAUAUAUAUAAAAAGGGUUUUCCAAAAGGACCAUUUAUAAUCGAAAUACAAAACUUCACACACGAUUUUGAGCACAACAGAGCGCUCAGUGAACAUCACUUCCGGGACCUGCAGCACCAGAGGGGGACAUCUAUCUUGGCCACAAACCAUCUUUGACAGUCUUCGACAGCAUGGUUGAAUCAGGUGAGCAUAAAAUGGAGUUUAACGUAAUUAAAUAGACCAAUGUUUUUUAACAUAGGAAAAUAAUUCAUUAUAAACAACAGUUAAAUGUUUGUUUUUAUUAAUUGCAAUCAGAUUUGAUUUUAUGAGGUUAAAUUAAGCAUUUCAGUUCUGGGCCAAGGCCAAGGCAUUUAAAUUUUUUUUUUUUAAAGUUGCAUGGAAGAUUGUAAGUAGCAGUGAUUGUCACACACUAGGUGUGGUGAAAUUAUUCUCUGCAUUUGACCCAUCACCCUUGAUCACUAUGCUAGUAAACCUUUUCUUAAUUUUAAACAAGACAGACUAGAGUUCUUCAAAUUGUUUAUACUUUUUCUCAAAUACAAAUAUUUCAAGCUGAUAAGCACUGUGGAGUUGGCAUGUUACUGAUAUUGUUACAUUAGUUCUUUGUUUGAGAAGCUUCAUGUCUGCAUUGAGCCUAAAUUUAACAGUUUUUGAAGGGUUUAGUUCUUUGUUUUAUAUCUGUGUCACUGACUUUUUUCAUUUUUAUGUUUGGAUUUGUUAGGCGCAUCAACACAUGAUGUAGACAUCGUGUCCAAAAGAAGAGCGAGACGUAAUCCUGAGGCUGAAGCCACCGAGUUUAUGUGAUCUGGAUGUGACAAGUCUUGUUUUAAGGCCCAGUGGAUCAAUGAUUGGAAAGACACCAACUGUUGAUGUUCUAUCUCAACAUUCUCCAGAUUCAUGUGAGCGAUAAACCGACUUCAUCCCUCCAACAGACACCAACUGUUGGGGUUCUAUCUCAACAUUCUCCAGAUUCAGAUGUGAGCGAUAAACCGACUUCAUCCCUCCAACAGAAACCAACUGUUGAGGUUCCAUCUCAACAUUCUCCAGAUUCAGAUGUGAGCCAUUAACUGACUUCAUCCCUCCAACAGGUUAUUACAUGUCUAUUUUUACUAUAUCUGCUCUAAAUUUGACCCAACCUAUAUUUUGAAAGACAUUUAUUUAUU